rnacentral:rRNA from 1 species
GGGUGAGUAACACGUGAGUAACCUGCCCCAGGCUUUGGGAUAACCCCGGGAAACCGGGGCUAAUACCGGAUAUGACUGGCUGCCGCAUGGUGGUUGGUGGAAAGAUUUUUUGGCUUGGGAUGGGCUCGCGGCCUAUCAGCUUGUUGGUGGGGUGAUGGCCUACCAAGGCGGCGACGGGUAGCCGGCCUGAGAGGGCGACCGGCCACACUGGGACUGAGACACGGCCCAGACUCCUACGGGAGGCAGCAGUGGGGAAUCUUGCACAAUGGGCGGAAGCCUGAUGCAGCGACGCCGCGUGAGGGAUGACGGCCUUCGGGUUGUAAACCUCUUUCAGCAGGGACGAAGCGUUUGUGACGGUACCUGCAGAAGAAGCGCCGGCCAACUACGUGCCAGCAGCCGCGGUAAGACGUAGGGCGCAAGCGUUGUCCGGAUUUAUUGGGCGUAAAGAGCUCGUAGGCGGCUUGUCGCGUCGACUGUGAAAACCCGUGGCUCAACUGCGGGCUUGCAGUCGAUACGGGCAGGCUAGAGUUCGGUAGGGGAGACUGGAAUUCCUGGUGUAGCGGUGAAAUGCGCAGAUAUCAGGAGGAACACCGGUGGCGAAGGCGGGUCUCUGGGCCGAUACUGACGCUGAGGAGC